CCUACGGGUGGCUGCAGUGGGGAAUAUUGGACAAUGGGCGAAAGCCUGAUCCAGCCAUGCCGCGUGUGUGAAGAAGGCCUUCGGGUUGUAAAGCACUUUCAGUGGGGAAGAAAGCCUUGGGGCUAAUACCCUCGAGGAAGGACAUCACCCACAGAAGAAGCACCGGCUAACUCCGUGCCAGCAGCCGCGGUAAUACGGAGGGUGCGAGCGUUAAUCGGAAUUACUGGGCGUAAAGCGCGCGUAGGCGGUCUGAUAAGCCGGUUGUGAAAGCCCUGGGCUCAACCUGGGAACGGCAUCCGGAACUGUCAGGCUAGAGUGCAGGAGAGGAAGGUAGAAUUCCCGGUGUAGCGGUGAAAUGCGUAGAGAUCGGGAGGAAUACCAGUGGCGAAGGCGGCCUUCUGGACUGACACUGACGCUGAGGUGCGAAAGCGUGGGUAGCAAACAGGAUUAGAUACCCCAGUAGUC
rnacentral:rRNA from 1 species